rnacentral:rRNA from 1 species
GACGAACGCUGGCGGCGUGCUUAACACAUGCAAGUCGAACGGUGAAGCGCCUUCCUUUUUGGUGGGUGUGGAUGAGUGGCGAACGGGUGAGUAACACGUGAGUAACCUGCCCCCUUCUUCUGGAUAACCGCAUGAAAGUGUGGCUAAUACGGGAUAUUCUGGGUCUGUCGCAUGAUGGGUCUGGGAAAGUUAUUGUUUCGGUGGGGGAUGGGCUCGCGGCCUAUCAGCUUGUUGGUGGGGUGAUGGCCUACCAAGGCGGUGACGGGUAGCCGGCCUGAGAGGGUUGACGGGCCCGCCUGGAAUGAGGACCCGCCCAGAAUGCUAUGAGAGGCGGCCGGGGGGAAUAUGGCACAAUGGGGGCAAGCCUGAUGCAGCGACGCCGCGUGAGGGAUGGAGGCCUGCGGGUUGUAAACCUCUUUCGCCAGUGAAGCAGGCCUGCCUCGUUUGUGGGUGGGUUGACGGUAGCUGGAGAAGAAGCGCCGGCUAACUACGUG